AAAAAGUCAGAGCCCUGGUUGAUGGAGCUGCAGAUCCAGCCGUGGAGGGGGAGGGGAGGGAAAUGCAGGACUGGCUGCAGGUCAGGCGCUGGGUGGGUGCUAGGAGGAGGGACCAAGCAAGUCUUUCUUUAAUGCCCACUGUGUGCUGGGCCUGGUUUAUCCGGGAGCACGCGGGGUCUGUAUGGGAAAAUUCUCCCCCUCUCCGCACCUUCUGUGCAUAUGGACCCUGGUCCGAGUUCACCUCUCAGAACAGCUCUCUGCUCCGUCCUCACCCANNCCUGCCUCCACUGUCCCCAUGUUCAUCUCUUCUCCCUUAAACGACCUUUUUACAAAGAGGAAGCUGACCUUCCUUCCAGCCCAGCACCCCCUGGCUUACCGCUGCUUUCCGAAAAACAUGCAAAGCUCCAGCCUGGACCACUAGGAGGUCUGGCGGUGCCCUGGCUCCAGCUGCAUCCCACGCCUUGCUCCUCCCACUUCAUGGGAGGCUGUGCUGGGAGUGGCAUCCCUGAGGAGGAAGGUCAAGGUCAGAGCAGGCGCCCCCCACCCCUAAUCCCCAGACAGGGAAGGCCCAGGUGGCAGUUUUUUUCUGCCUUUCACCUGUAAGCCCAGUCCAAUCAAGUGCCCAAACACACAUUUUUUCAGGGUUGAAAAAGUACAUACAAACGAGGACUCAUGGGAGGCUGGACACACAGAGGCUCUGCUAAAGCCACUGAAGGAGGGAGAGUUUGGCAAACUGGAGAUCCUGCUUCAGUUCCAGCAAUCUCGGAUGGUGGAGACAUGUAAUAAAGGUCAGGCAGAGUGAGAAAUAUUCUUACUGGAGAGUCAGCCUAGGUUUGCUGAACACUUAUUAUGUGCCGGUGCAGUGCUGGGUGACAGAAACAUAAGCAAUCUGGGGCAAAGCCAAGACUGAGAGGCCAUUUGAAGGCAGUCAGGUCCUAGAUAUGAUGAAUUAUCAUCCUCCGGGCCUGUCUGAGGACUGCUCAAAUCCAUCGCCUUCCAAAAAACUGAGGCACAGAGACAAUUAAAUGUCGAUUUUCAAAAAAAUAAUCAAAAAUGAUCAAGUCUGUGCCUGCUUCUGCACCACAGGAAUGCUGUGUCUGCUAAGUCGCUUCAGUUGUGUCCGACUCUGUGCGACCCCAUAGACGCCNNNNNNNNNNNNNNNNNNNNNNNNNNNNNNNNNNNNNNNNNNNNNNNNNNNNNNGUAGGUUGCCAUUUCCUUCUCCAAUGCAUGAAAGUGAAAACUGAAAGUGACGUCGCUCAGUCAUGUCCGACUCUCCACGACCCCAUGGACUGCAGCUCACCAGGCUCCUCCACCCAUGGGGUUUUCCAGGCAAGAGUACAGGAGGGGGUCGCCAAAUCAGCUAUAACCCAAUAAAAAAUCGAAAGUUUAAAGUUUGAAAUAAGUAAAUAAAUAUAACUUGCAUGCAUGCAUGCUAAGUCGCUUCAGUCAUGUCCGACUCU
rnacentral:lncRNA from 1 species